rnacentral:rRNA from 1 species
AAUGAACGCUGGCGGCGCGCCUAAUACAUGCAAGUCGAGCGAGAAGACGUAGCAAUACGUUUGUAAAGCGGCGAACGGGUGAGGAAUACAUGGGUAACCUACCCUCGAGUGGGGAAUAACUAGCCGAAGGUUAGCUAAUACCGCGUACGCUUCUUGGACUUCGGUUCAGGGAGGAAAGGCGAAUGCCGAGGGUAUCGCGGCUCUUGGAUGGGCUCAUGUCCUAUCAGCUUGUUGGNGAGGUAACGGCUCACCAAGGCGACGACGGCUAGCUGGUCUGAGAGGGACGACCAGCCACACCUGGGACUGAGGACACGGCCCAGACUCCGUACGGGAGGCAGCAGUGGGGAAUCUUGCGCAAUGGGCGAAAGCCUGACGCAGCAACGCCGCGUGGGGA